rfam:Entamoeba histolytica HM-1:IMSS scf_1104750516283 genomic scaffold, whole genome shotgun sequence.
GUGGCUGUAGUUUUACGUGUAAAACACUUAUUUGUAAUUUAAUAAAUAUGAAAUACUAAGUUAAAUUAAUAAGAGUCGUAGGAUCGAAACCUGCCAGUCGCC